rnacentral:lncRNA from 1 species
AACCACAAGAUUUCCUCUGUGAUACUUAGUAAUUUUGCCUUCAUCCAGUUAUGAAAGCACUAUAGCCCUUUCAAAUUGGUUAAGGGCUUGUUUACACCUCCUUUAUAUUUUUAAUUGAAAAAUGAUUCAAUCCAAGGGCCAUGGUCUUCUAUGAUUAGUUGGUGGUGAUGGUGGGCUGUGUGUGUAAUGUAACCUUUCCUUUGCCGAAGUAAAAUCAAACAAAUUAACCAAUGAAUAACAAUCAAAAACAUAUUUGUUCUGUGUCUUGCCUAACCCAUAGAAUUGAUCUAAAGUGUUUAUAUUACGAAUCAUGCCCACAUUGUGUCUUCUCUGUCUUAAUUUGUCUUAAUUAUUUUUCUUUUAGGCCUAGAGUGAUGAUGAUGGCUUGGGGAGAGAGAUUGACAAAGAAGUUCCUGGUGAUUCUGGUGCAUAGGUCUGGUUUUUAUGUUUAUGCCAAACUUCUUGAAGCUAGAAAUUGGACCUUGGCAAAGAAGCUGAAGCCGGAUGGCUACAUCAGUGCUGAUGUCAUCACUGCCCAGAGCUAUUUGGAGAGUUUCAGUAGAUGUGAUAUCUCACGGCAAUUUUACCACAUUUGAAAGGCCUGUACUUCUUUUCAAAGCAUCUUCACAGCUAUGAGUUCAUGGGAUCCUGACAAUAACCUCAUGAGGUAGGUUAAGCAAUUAUUAUCUAUAUUUACUAUAUUCAAUUCAAUUUUAUUAAAUUCAAUAAAUA